rnacentral:rRNA from 1 species
AUGAACGCUAGCUACAGGCUUAACACAUGCAAGUCGAGGGGCAGCAUGGUCUUAGCUUGCUAAGGCCGAUGGCGACCGGCGCACGGGUGAGUAACACGUAUCCAACCUGCCGUCUACUCUUGGACAGCCUUCUGAAAGGAAGAUUAAUACAAGAUGGCAUCAUGAGUCCGCAUGUUCACAUGAUUAAAGGUAUUCCGGUAGACGAUGGGGAUGCGUUCCAUUAGAUAGUAGGCGGGGUAACGGCCCACCUAGUCUUCGAUGGAUAGGGGUUCUGAGAGGAAGGUCCCCCACAUUGGAACUGAGACACGGGCCAAACUCCUACGGGAGGCAGCAGUGAGGAAUAUUGGUCAAUGGGCGAGAGCCUGAACCAGCCAAGUAGCGUGAAGGACGACUGCCCUAUGGGUUGUAAACUUCUUUUAUAAAGGAAUAAAGUCGGGUAUGGAUACCCGUUUGCAUGUACUUUAUGAAUAAGGAUCGGCUAACUCCGUG